GAUUUUUUUUUAACACACAGGCACACACAGGUGUUCAUUCACUGUAGGCGAUGUAUACCGGCUGAGAAUCUUAUGACGAAAAGAAGUAGUCGCCAAUCUGCAGUACAUCCAUACAUUUUUGAGGUAAAUCGGUAUGGAAAAUUUACAAGAAUAUCAAUUAACGCGACCAGAACUUCUGUCAGAAGAGACACUACGAGAAGUGUUGAAGAACAAAUGUAUACAAGUUCCGGACUUCAAAGCGUUAAGCAAACCUGAACUUAUUGAAAUAUUUAAGAGAGUGGCAUUACCGUUACCUCAACGACAGUGUAGUGAAUCCAGGUAUUUUGGCCGAAAGAUAUUGAGUCUUCGAAUAAAGAGGAGUAUUGCAACUGCAACUUAUGAGGACAAUGCAGCUUUGAAGGCAAUGAUGCCAUGCAACAGUACCAAUGUCGACUGUAGUAAUGCAGCUGAAACAUCUAAAACAAACCGGUUAAAGCCAAUUAUCAAAGAGGCAAAUCCUACCUCCAAGAAAAUUUGUUUAUCAAAUUCAACAAAGAGCAAGGAAUCUCUGCACAAUAAUAUAAAACGAAAAAAUGAAGACAAUGACAAUAUAUUCACGGCCUUCCGUUAUUGACUGCAGAGGAUGAUGAAUGUGUGCCCAAAUUGUGACCCCUGGGUUAGACAGGCGUCUCGUGGUCAGUCUCUUCGAUCCUUCCCAAUCGCCAGGCAUUGGGAUCUCCUGCUGCUGUAAAAUUAAUUGACAGGGAUUAAAGCGUGAUUAUACCAUCGAACGGAUAAGCUGCUGACCUUUACGGCAAAAGCUUGAGAAAAGACAACAAACAGUCGAGAUCCGGGAAUACAUGUGCAUAUGCCCGACUCGAAUAUGACAUUAGACCGCAUGUAGUACAAGAAAGAAAUAUAACAGGUAUAGCUGGCGUCAUGGUUGACUUUAUAGUGCAUUGUUGCCUUCAUGGAGACUACAUAAGGAGCACGAAUUCAAAUGGGAAAAUUGACAGAACCUGCUACUAAUAUCGUUCACACUACGUUUUCUUUUUGUACCACUAGCGCCGCUAGUUUCCCUUUUGUACUGACCUGAAUAUAGCAUAAUAAAUACAUGUGAAGUAAGCAGGCAAAUAUUUAAAAGUAAUUGCCGUUGCACAUUUUUAUUAUUUGUUUAUUUAAGUUAAAGUAGGUUAAAUUAUUUAUUUUAUAAUUUUCGAAGUAAUCAAAUAUGAUUUUCAAUUUAAACACCCGCCUUAUACCCCUCCACUAUUUCGGUGCAUACAGAACACUAGUGCCCUCUUAUUUUGGGAAGCUGUAUGUAUACAUGCAUGGAGUUCGUGCUCCUUAUGUAGUCGUCAUGGUUGCCUUAAUCAAGUAUGAGUCCAGCAUAUCUUGUUACACUAUUAUACUACGAGCAGAGAUACUGGUACUUCUAAUAAGAAAGACUAUAAGUACUCACAAAUAUAUAUAAGCUAUACAAUGACUUUGUACACUUUGCAUAAAAA